ensembl:lncRNA
GUGAGAUCCCACUUCAUCCAUAAAUUACGGCAUCGCACAACAAUAACACCAGAAGGACAAUAUCACCAUUGUUUGCUUCUACAAUCAUCUCAGCCCACAAAAUUCUGUUCCACUGUCAGCUUGCUGUCGUGAAGCCAUUGUUUUCCUCUUUUCAGAGUCUCUUUCCUAAUAUCAUUCAAAUUAUUUAGACAGUCAGCAAUGUUUUUGCUAUCAGUGCAGACUUCCAGAGAGCUGGAGCCCCAGUGUGAUGACCAAAUAACCCUUGACUAUUUAUCUUUGCACAGUCAUUCUUUCCUGAGGCCCAGGAGGGACUGGGUUGCCCUGUGUGCUGCGCAGGGGCGGGGCGCUCCCCCUGCUGAAGCUGGUGCGUUCCACUGGACAAUGCAGCCUUUUCUGCUUGACUCUCACUGGCUGGGAUGAUCUUUCUUCUACUUAAAGAAUCCUCUUCAGCAUAUUAUUUAGUGAGUAUCUGCUUGUGACAAAUUCUUUUAGUCUUUUAGAAUAAAAAUGCCUUUACUUUGCCUUCAUUGGGAAUUAUUUUUUUUUAAUUUGCCAGUUUGACAGAUGAUAGUGGUAUUAUACUCUUUUAAUUUGAGUAUGUUUUAUAUAUUUACUACCUUUUUCUUAUCUUAGGUACUUAAUUUCUUACAAGGUUAAGUGCAUUUUUCCGUACUCAGAGAUGAGGAGAGCCUACAUUAUUCACAUAACUGAGGUUAAAGUAUAAGGGAUGCUUUUGGUAACUUAUCUGCUUCUUUGUUCACAUACAAAGAAAACAAACUCAUCUAAGUGCUGCCUAUGGCGAAUAAAUUAACUCUUUUUAUGAACAAGCACAUUAUUCAUGUUACUAAUUAUUCCUGCUAGUCACUCUGAUCUGGAGUGAACCUGGACUCCACUGGACCUGGACCAGCUCCUGGACCAACAUCUAUUCCUCAACUGUAUUGACACUUUGGGCAUUUCUCUCUCUUCCUAGCAGUGUUUCAUAAGAGGAGCUUUCUUUUGAGGUAGCUUUGAAGGGUUGAGAUAAUCCUAGGUAAGUAAAAACUCCUGGGAUUCUCAUUCAACUAGAUAUUUUAUUUUGAG